rnacentral:rRNA from 1 species
GAUGAGCGCUGGCGGCGUGCCUAAUACAUGCAAGUCGAGCGAAUGGAUUAAGAGCUUGCUCUUAUGAAGUUAGCGGCGGACGGGUGAGUAACACGUGGGUAACCUGCCCAUAAGACUGGGAUAACUCCGGGAAACCGGGGCUAAUACCGGAUAACAUUUUGAACCGCAUGGUUCGAAAUUGAAAGGCGGCUUCGGCUGUCACUUAGGGAUGGACCCGCGUCGCAUUAGCUAGUUGGUGAGGUAACGGCUCACCAAGGCAACGAUGCGUAGCCGACCUGAGAGGGUGAUCGGCCACACUGGGACUGAGACACGGCCCAGACUCCUACGGGAGGCAGCAGUAGGGAAUCUUCCGCAAUGGACGAAAGUCUGACGGAGCAACGCCGCGUGAGUGAUGAAGGCUUUCGGGUCGUAAAACUCUGUUGUUAGGGAAGAACAAGUGCUAGUUGAAUAAGCUGGCACCUUGACGGUACCUAACCAGAAAGCCACGGCUAACUACGUGCCAGCCGCCGCCGUAA